rnacentral:rRNA from 1 species
GAGCAAAACUCAAAAAAUAAGUCUCAGUUCGGAUUGAAGGCUGAAAUUCGCCUUCAUGAAGCCGGAAUUGCUAGUAAUGGCAGGUCAGCAUACUGCCGUGAAUACGUUCCCGGGCCUUGUACACACCGCCCGUCACACCAUGAGAGUUGGGAAUACCCGAAGCCUGUGAGCUAACUUUUAGAGGCAGCAGUCGAAGGUAGAAUCAAUGAUUGGGGUGAAGUCGUAACAAGGUAGC